AGUGAACGCUGGCGGUAGGCCUAACACAUGCAAGUCGAACGGCAGCACAGUAAGAGCUUGCUCUUACGGGUGGCGAGUGGCGGACGGGUGAGGAAUACAUCGGAAUCUACUUUUUCGUGGGGGAUAACGUAGGUAAACUUACGCUAAUACCGCAUACGACCUACGGGUGAAAGCAGGGGAUCUUCGGACCUUGCGCGAUUGAAUGAGCCGAUGUCGGAUUAGCUAGUUGGCGGGGUAAAGGCCCACCAAGGCGACGAUCCGUAGCUGGUCUGAGAGGAUGAUCAGCCAGACGGGAACUGAGACACGGACCAGACUCCUACGGGAGGCAGCAGUGGGGAAUAUUGGACAAUGGGCGCAAGCCUGAUCCAGCCAUACCGCGUGGGUGAAGAAGGCCUUCGGGUUGUAAAGCCCUUUUGUUGGGAAAGAAAAGAAGCAGGUUAAUACCCCGCUGUUCUGACGGUACCCAAAGAAUAAGCACCGGCUAACUUCGUG
rnacentral:rRNA from 1 species